CUCCUGGCUCCAAUAUCUCCAGAUUGGACUGCCUGCAAGUCUUGCUACUGUCUGUGGUGCUGGAGUGACUUUCUGCUUGAUUUUAAGGUGCAGGGCCUCCCGGCUACAGAAGAAGGUGCAUCAGUCACCAGUACAGACUGCGACUGAAAACUUCAGAUUCACAGCUUUGCAUCUGAACACUGAAACUGUAAUGGACAGUUAUGUCUCACCAGAGAAAAUCUAUCAGAAUUAUAAACCACAAACUACAUUUAUGAGCUAUUAACCAUGUAGGCACCAGCCAUCUAUACCGGCUCAACUAUUAAUUAUACUCAUAACUUGAACCUGUCCUCGAUCUAGCAAAUCUCAGGCCUUAUGCAUAGCAGGAUAGCAGAAUACUCUAAACUGACCAAGAAAAGCCUUUCUCCUUCCUGACAUGAAAAAAGAACAACAAAAAAAAAAAAAAAAAAAAAAAAGACGAUCUAUCUGGCAGAAAUACAGGAAUAAAAGUUUUGUUCUAGGUAGAUAGUUACA
rnacentral:lncRNA from 1 species